UCAAAAUGGAGUCUCUUAUUUUUUAUAAAUAAAUAGUCAAAAAUACCAAAAUAUUUCAGUGAAUAUAAUAUGCCAACUCAGAUUCUUUUUUCUUUAUUUACGUAUGGGCCUAGGGUCAUAAAAUAAUCAAAGCGUUCAAUAACAGUGUUAGUAUCAUUUAUAUACAGAGAAUAAGCAACAUGCUUCAUUUAUAUAAGAGAGAGAAUGGAAAAGGAAAUGGACUGGAAAUUGGGCCAAGAGAAAUGUAGUCCUAAUAGACUUAAAGCGGCGGCAGACUUCGUUCAAAUGGAGGUGAUGGACUGGAAUUGGGCCUGAGAUCCAAAGAAACUCGGUAGACCCAAAUCCAAACAUGCAUACAAAGAAAAUAUAGAAGAACAUUAGUGAUGCCUCAUGAGGCCCAAUAUAAAUAAAGUUGUAACAUAUAAACAUGAUUAAGAGUGCAGCAAAUCCAACAUGAUAACACUGUAACAAAUAGACACUAUUAGAGUGAAAAACAACUCCUAUUUGUAUUAAUCCUAAAAGGGUUAAUGAGAGUCAAUGACAGAGAGCUUCAGAUAAUACCUUAUUCAUGGACAAGGUAUUCUUGGAAUCCUUGGUACUUUAGAGUUCACAAGGGUCUCAAAGACCCCGAGUAGUGCUUGUGUUAGGGAAAGACACCUUAACUACAAACUAGGUCCCAGCCUAAAUAAUCUUAAUGACUCACACUCACUCUUCCCCAAAGGUUUAGAUACAAAUGAGGUAUUCACUAAAUAAUCAACAUAAGAGCAGCAAUAGGCACAAAAGUUCAAAUAUGCAAAGUUGAGAGGUUGCAGAGAAUAUAAUCAAAAUGCAAGGACAUGAACACGUAAGGAAUUACACCAUUAUCCUUAAAAUCAGAGCUCAGAAUGUAAAGGUCAAUUAUUGUAGAUACUAACAAUAUCUAGGAACAUUCCACAUGUAUCAAAAUACUUAAAGAGACUAACCACAAAUGUAGAACAAGGUGAGUUCAUGGCAACCAUGAGUAAACUAAUCCAAAAUGCUAAAUUAAGUGAUGCUCAUUUAUCUCAUUAUUCCUACCGCGGGAUUCAAAAUCUCAGUAGUCCUUAACUAAGUUUACAAUGCUUCAACAAUCAUUUUAAUCGAUUAUCAGAACACUCAGAGUUCCCACGGACAUGGUUGAAUCCCAACUAUAUUUAAUACCUAUGCUAAGAGUCUUGUUUAACCAAGUAGAGACAUCAAAGUAGGCUAGGUAAUCAGUUUCAAUUUAGUCUAAACGUGGUAUCUUGUUCACUAAUCUAUCAAAUAAUCAAUCAAACAUCUAGUUUCACAACUAAGUCCUCUUUUAAAGCCAAGAUAUCAACCAAGCAUGGUGCAUUGUUAAGCUAAACAAGACAAAGAAGUAUCAGUAGGUUUUCAUAGGCCUAUAAGUGACAAUAGUAGUUUUAUGUCAGAUCUUUACAUAGCUCAGGUUGCUAAAUUACUAGGGCAGACAAGGUUUAACUUACUCAUCUAUAAAGCAGUUUUAAGUAAAAAGUAUAAUAGUUUAGGCAUGAAUCCUUCUAAAAGGAACAAACAAGAAGUCUAUGAGUGUAACUGGGUAAACACAUAAGCAUGAGGGUUAACAGAAUACAUUCAAACCUAUACACAAUGAUGUUUUCAAAGAGUUACAAGAUUACAGAACAUAUCAGAUAAGCAGAUAACCUGAUAAGUAAGUUAGUCAGUUUAGGCUAUGACAACAUACUUGCAUUGGAUCCUUAAGUGUGCACAACAAGCAAAGUUCCAAUAUUAUCAAAGUAGCCAUGUUAAGUGUAUGACAUGGUUCAAUAAGUGGUAUAACAUUAUUAACCCCAUAAUCAAUAUAAUGCAGAUGUGGCAGACAUAAAUUCUUAGCAAGGCAUCAAAUAAGUCUAAGAUCACAACUCAAUCAAGUUAGCUAAGCAUGGUGGUAUGGUUAACAAAAUAAUCAUGGAAAACAUCAUAAUUCUUUUAGCUAAUGAUAAGAGUUCAAUAGGAUUUAUAUCAUCUACUUUAGCAAACGUUAUCUAGUUAAGUCAUGGAUUUCAUUAGCACGGAUUAACUAUGAAUACUAGGGUAAUCAUAAGUUAUCAGGAGAAUAAUUAUUUUUAGAUCAAUGAGAACAACAUAGAACAUAGCAGGCAAUCAUAAGAUUACUAACAUAUAUCAUGAACGAAAGUAAAUCGGCAGCGAAGAUAUUAGAACCACCCAAUAAAUUCAAAUAAUCGAAAGUAAAGGAAGGGUCAGUAUACAAUGAACUUCUGCAGGGAAGCAAAGAAAACGAGAGUGAUUCAAUAACUAUUUAAGAAUCCAAUACUCAAGACUAGUACAACGAUCGAACUCGAGAUUAGAAAAGAAAGCAGUAAAGAGUGAGGAAACCUUACCUUUUCUUUCUUUUUGUAUUUCAGAUGGUAUUAGAUUGUCUAUAAGGUAAAGGUAUUGAAUGCCCCUUUUUAUACUGGCAUUCAAGUCUAAGGUUUUGAUUAAUUUUAAGAAAUAGUGGGGUGUGACGAUGGGGUGGAUGACAAUAGCAAUGUGGGUGAGAAACAGAAGCAGAAGAAGGAAUAGGAUUUCCUGAGAAGAUUCGACCAUUUGAAAUCAAAAACCAACGGUCAAAGCUUCAAUAUCCACAGGUCAUUGAGUUUGACCUAUGGACAUCUAAUAACAAUGAUGAAGCCUGUGAAACCUUCAUGCAUGCUUCCGAUUUGAAAGAACAUAAUAGGAACUCAGACGAUUUGAAGUUUCGCUUUUGAGUCUAGGGUUUUAGAUUUGGGGAUUUCAAAUCUCAGUGAUGAAAGAGGAAAUAAUCAAAGGGGGUUUGUGGGUGUAAGAGACAUUGUGAGUGUUGUGAGUUUUAAUUUUAUGACAUUGCACUGAUUUGUGAAAGAAUUUGGGAUUGAUGGGUGUGUGAAAGUUAAGAUAUUAGAGAGAGUUUUGGGAAAGAGGGGUGGUCGUUCAAAGACGAAAUGAUAAGGAUUUCAGACACUUUAUUUGGUCUCGUAGGUUUAAGGCGAGAGACGGGAUCUCGGCCGUUGGAUCAUUUGAUCAACGGACCUGAUAAUUUAGGUCAUGUGGAUUUAAAAAUUAUAUUAUUGGGGAAAGACAGGGACCGUUGGAUAUGUGUGAUCCAACGGUGGGAUAUAAUGUCACACAAAGUUUUAAAUAAUGGGAAAAAGCGAGAAUAAAUAUGGUCCGUUGAUGGUAUGGAUCGGCGAUUCGGAUGGCGUGUGUUUAUUUUGUGAAUGAGUGAGACAUGUGAUGUGGCAUACUUCUAUUGGCUCGAUGGAGAUGGCCUAGAUCACCAAGAUGGAAUGGAGUGAUUAUUUUGGACCGGGUCAGGUAGAUUUGGGCUGGAAUUGAUUUAAGGGAUAGCCAUAUUGUGUUUAAUCAAACUUUUGUAAUUUUAGCCUUUUAAGCUUUUAUACCCCUCUUAAAAUUAAUUUAAUUAAUUCUAACUAAAUGUGAUAAAAAAUAUAAUCAUCAAGUAUACUAUAAAUUACAUUAAUUAAUUAAUUAAUUAUUAAAAUAAUUUAUUUACCCAAAUUAUGAAGUUAAUUUUGGAUUAUUUAAAUAAUAAGCGAGUUAAUUAAAAAUCACGGAUUAAUUUGAUGAAUUAAUUAUAAAACUUGUGUAUACAAAAUAUAGAAGUGAGUUAAUAAUUUUAAAAUAGUAAGGGUAAUAUAUUUUAUAAAUAUUUAAUACUAAAUUAUUAAUCUAACAUUAUUAAUUACUAAUUUCCUAUUAUGUUUAUAUAAAAUAGGUAUUGUUGAUAAGAAAAUAUUUUCAAGACAUUUAUUGCAAAUCAUUAAGUAUAAAUAAUUUAAUUUAAAAGGGAGGGUCAAAAUUAGUCGUCAACACAUGCAUUCUAUAUUCAUAAAUAAGCAUUUGAGCACACACUACUUAGUGCAUAUCUCUAGGCAGUGAGAGCUUCAUUGAACAUGAGGAUUCAAGGUAGCUGUAUUGACGGUCGCAGUCCUUUGGAGUAAUAUCCUUAUAAUUAUACUGUCAUUUUUGUAUCCGAAUAGUAUUGUAUAUUUGAGAUAUUCUUAUGUAUUCAGUUAGAGCUUGUGACUCUGUACUACCUAGUUCAGUAUUGCCACUUUGUCUUGUAUUGAUUCUAUUUCCUCUUUUAUAUUAAACUCUAUUUUAUUAUAUCAUGUUUUUAUAGAUUUAGAUGAUGUUACGUGGUCGGUAUACCUAGUUUUAGAGACUAAGUGCCAUCAUGACCCAUGUGGUGGGAUUUGGAUCGUGACAAGUUGGUAUUAGAGGUCUAUGUUCAUAGGUUCUAUGAGUCAUGAGCAACUUCAGUAGAGUCUUGUUGAUCAGUACGAAGAUGUCUGUACUUAUCUUCAAGAGGCUACGAAACUAUUAGAAAAAUUUCACUUCUUCCAUUCCUUAUCGUGCGGAUUUAUUGUUUUCAGAGUUUGAGCCUUUAUCUUUCUAUUCUCUCAUAGAUGGUAAGGACAUGUGCUUUAGUUACUGAUGAUGCUGCCCCCUGGGCUAGUGUUGCUAGAGGCUGGUGCAGAGGCAAAGGCAUAGCACAUGCCGCAGCGAGGGGUUGUGCUAGGGCCGCGACUGAGGAGCCACUAGUAGCUCUGGUUGGCAAGCACACACAUGAGCGGCCUAUUUCUACCCCCUGGACUUUAGGAGAUCUUGGCACACUUUCUGAGCAUGUUUGGGACUUUAGCUCAAGUAAGGUUGAUUCUGUUUGCACCAGCUACUUCAAAGGCUGGGGGAAGAGUCUAGACUCCCGCUACACAUACUCUAGAGCAGUUGGCUCAUUUGGAUAGGCUUCGAUUGUAAUACUAGUGCAGCCCAUGAUUGCGGUCCAUCCUGAGGUCGGGCCAAUUGCGUCGGUUGAGGAGAAGAAUAGGUUAGAGAGGUUCCAAAAGUAUCAUCCUCCUCAUUUUAGUGGUGGGGGCUUUUGAGGAUGCACAGGGUUUCUUGGAUUAGUGUCAACGCAUUCUACUUACUAUGGGUUGGUGAAGUCGAGCGAGGUCGACCUUACUACUUGUCAGUUGACCAAACCAACAUAUAGAUGGUGGUAGACUUAUGAGGCGAGAAGACUAGCCGGUGCAACACCACUUGCUUUAUCCCAGUUCUCUGAUCUUUUCUAGAUGGAGUUUAUGCCACAUAUCCCCAGGGAUGAGUUACGCAACGAGUUCGAGAAGUUGCGCCAGGGGAGUAUGACUAUGUCCGAGUAUGUUAUGAGGUUUAUAUAGUUAUCUCUUCAUGCACACGCCUUGGAUUCCAGUGAUAGAGAGAGAGUAAGAAGGUUUAUUAAGGGUCUCGUCUAUAGCAUCAGAUUUGGGAUGGCACGGGAAUUGGAGACUGAGACUUCAUUCCAUCAGGUUGUGGAGAUUUCUAGUAGGUUGGAGCUUAUUUGCGGAGAGGAUAUGGGGCAUAGGGAGGCUUAGAAGCCUCGAGGUUCUGGAUGAUUUAGUGGUUCCCACUUUUCGGCUCGAAUCUAUCAUGGUAGAGGCUUUGUCAGUCAGCCAGUUCAGUCCGUAUUUCAGGUUACCCAUAUUGUUCUAGCUAGAUAGGGACCGCAGGGUACUCAUAUCAGACAAUCAUCUUUUAGUGAACCUUCUACAUGGGGUUCCCAUAGUGGGUAUUCUAGUCGUCCGGCGCAGACUCGGUACCAACAUCCAUGCCUAUAGAGGAGUUAUUUUGAGUGUAGUGAUACUUGACAUCUUAUUAGAGAUUGUCCCAGAAUUCGGAGGGGUGGACACCAGCAGGGUACUCGGGCUAUGGUUUCCGCUCCAGUUGCUACUCCACUUGCACAGCCAGCUAGAGGUUGAGGGUAGGCGAGUAGAGGAUGUCCUAGAGGGGGAGAAUAGGACCGUUGUUAUGCUUUCCCUAGUAGGACUAAGGUAGUCGCAUCAGAACUUAUCAUUACAUGUAUUUUUCUAAAUUGUUGUAGAGAUGCAUCAAUUUUAUUUGAUCUGGGUUCUACUUAUUCGUAUGUGUCCUCCUAUUUUUCUUUCAAUUUUAUUUGAUCCGGGUUCUACAUAUUCGUAUGUGUCAUCAUGACUCUCUUGAUACUUCUAUUUAUGUGACUAAAACCCGUUGGGAUUCUAUUGCGGUGGACCUGUAAUGACUCAAUCGGUCAUUUUUAGUAUUUGCACUUCGCUCGGUAGUUUGGGGGAAUGAGUAGCUCCGUAUGAUGUAUUAUGACUUGUGUAAAUAGUCGGUUUUGGUUUUCAGGUUAUUCAGAAUUGAUUUGGAAGAAUGAAUUUCAUGAUUGAAGCUUUAAGUUAGAAGAGUUGGCUAGGUUUGACUUUUUUAGAAUUUGACCUCAGAUUGGAGUUUGGAUUGUUUAUUUAGGUCCGUGUGGUGAUUUUGGACUCGGGCAUAUGCCUGGAUUUGCAUUUGGAUAAUUUCUAAAAGGUUUCGAUGCAAAUUGGCGAAAGUUAGAAAUUUGAAGGUUUGGAAAGUUCAUAAGUGUUGCGUUCGUUUUUAUAUGUUUCGACGUCAUUUCUUCAACGAUAAAUGGUACCACAUUAAGCAAAUGGUCUCCAAUUUUUUAUUUUGAUUGAAGCAUUAGAUCCGUAUCGUAAAUUUGGAAUUAUAGCAAUUGGAAUCAUCAAGUUUGACAUCGUAUAAGGAAAUUAUUAUCAUUUUACUAAGAAUUGGGUUGCCAGAUUUUCCAGAUUAAUUACGAAAUUAUCACUAAAUUCGUGUUUAAAAAUCUGCAUCAUUUGCAAAUAUUGAAACCAGCAUAUCUCCUUAAGCAUAAGGUCAAAUGGAGUGAUUCAAAAGCAUAACAUGACUAAAAUUUCACAAAACAUCCAUUGGAGGCAUUAAAAGUGAGUUUCGGCAUCGUUCGGAAUGACAAACGAGGCAGAACAGCUGGGCAAAAGCAUAUAAAUUAAGGGUUUGUUCAUUUGGUCAUAUUUUGAGUUGGGGAGCUCGGAUUUGGACGAUUUUUGAAGUGAUUUUCACCACAUGGAAUGAGGUAAGUGUUCUAUACUCAUUUCUUAUUAUAUUUCAUGAAGUUCAUUUUUGGCAAUUGGUUGAUGAUUUCAAAAGUGAGAUUUGGGGGUUUUUGUCUAAAAUUUCAUAAAGUAAAUUUUUGAGUUUUGAACAUCGAUUUGGAGUCAGAUUUUAGUGAAACUAAUAUGGUUGGACUCGUAAUUGAAUGUGUUUCAAAUUUUAUAAGUUUCGUCGAGUUCUAAGAUGCGGGCCCGGGUUGGACAUUUUGGUUGAUUUUGGGCUUUUGAGUAAAGAUUCGACCUUUAUCGAUUGGAUUUGAUUUCUUUGGCAUUAUUUGAUGUAUUUGAGUUGCUUUUGGCUAGUUUUGAGUCGUUCGGAGGGGGUACAUGUGGGAUGGCAUUUCGGGAGCAUCGUCAGGCUUGCUCGGUGUUGGAUUUGGCUUGUUCGAUGUAAGUUACACUUCUAAACUUAGUGUUGGGGGUAUGAAGCUCUGAAUUAAGUGUUAUGUGAUUGAUGUUGAGGUGAGCGCAUGCUAGGUGACGGGUGUGUGGGCGUGCACCGUAUAAAUUGUGAUUUAGUCAAUUUCAUGGAAUUGUGUAGCUAUUUUAUCUGAACAUUUUUACUGUACUCUAUGUGUUAGAGUAUUUGAGCUGUAAUUAAUGCUAGAAAUCAUGUUUAGGCUAUAUGUUGGUACUAUUUGGACCCACAAUGGUCGUUCUUAGCUGUUGAGGUAUUUGUUUAAUUGCAGUUAUGCACUCAGUCGCAUUUAUCAUUACACAUUAUAUCUCAGUCUAUGUUAUUAUGUAUUGUCACAUCUCGUAUCAUUGAUUAGGGCUACUUAGUAUGAGAGUUGUGAGGCCAAGGGACUGGAGAUAUUGAUGACCGAGUGAGGCCGAUGGCCUGAUUGUGAGUGAUAUUUAUGGGAUCGGGUUGCACGUCGCAGCAUGUUUUAUUUAUUUAUGCCUGGAUCUGGCUUAUUAUAGCGCUUGGGAUGAAGGAGCCCCUCUAGAGUCUGCACACCCACAAUGAGUGUAGUUGAUUUAUAUUUAGGGAUGGAUCUUCCCUGGGCUAGAUUAGCCAAAUAUAGUACUGAGUGUGAGGUUGUAUUUAUGUCUGGUUGGGCUAGAUCUGCCCUGUACAAUGCUGAAUAUUGAGCGUGAUGAGUGAGAGAGCGAGACCAUGAGAUUGAGUACUCUAAGAGUGUGAGUACAUGAGUUCAUCACUGAGAUACAUUGUAUUUGACAUGCGUACUUGAGAUACAUGCAUAGAGAUGCAUUUCCUUCUGCUACCCAGUUUUGGUGACAUUCAUGAUCUUACCUGUAUCUUGACAUGUAGGCAUAAAUAUGUAUUUUCCUCAUGCUAUUUGAAAAUGAAAACAUCUUAUUUAUUGUUGAAGGGUUUUUGGAGAAAUCACAGUUUUCAAACAUACUCGUAUGCUUUUGGGACUUUCGGUGAAAGAUCUAGGAUUUAUUCUCAUACUUGAAAAGCAUGUCUAUUUUCCGUAACUGUGAACGAGUUGAGCAUCUUACCUCUAAGUUAUUUUCAUGUACCUUUUUUUUAUAUUGUUAUGAAUUGUUGCUGGUUAUUGGAGUUGGACUCUGACCCUUGUCCCAGCUCGUCAUUUCUUUCAACCUAAUGUUAGGUUUGUUACUUGUUAAGUACAUGGGUUCGGUUGUACUCAUACUACACUGCUGCACCUUGCGUGCAAAUUUUGGAUGUUGAUAAUUCUAUGUAUGACAGAAGCAAGCAUGGAAGACGUACUUGCAUUCCAGUUACAGCUGCCUCUUGUUCAUGCUAGCCCUAGACUUAUAUAAAUCUAUUUAUGUACAUUCGGACAUAUGGUGUAUUUAUUUCAUACUAGCUUUGUAAAUUCUAAAUCUUAGAAGCUCAUGACUUGUACUAACAGUCCUUGGGGGAGUUGUAUAAAAUUCAGUUAUCUCAUAUUUGACUCACAUCAGUAUUAUUAUAUUAUGCUUUAUUGUUAAUUGGCUUACCUAGCGGGUCGGAUUACGUGCCAUCACGAUGGUUCAAUUUUUGGGUCGUGACAAAUUGGUAUCAGAGCUCUAGGUUCAUAGGUUCUACGAGUCAUGAGCAAGUGUCUAGUAGAGUCUUGCGGAUCGGUAUGAUGACGUCUAUACCUAUCUUCGAGAGGCUACAGGAUAUUUAGGAUAAUUUCCCAUCUUUCUUUCCUUGUCGUGCGAAAUUGAUUCAGCUUGAAACAUAACGCUUUGAAUUUUUUCCACGCAUUUGUGUGCGCAUGUGAGUGCUCGGUAUCAGUUGUGCAUCGCCAGCUUGUGAUUCAAUGGAUGAGGUGCGAGAUGUGAUUUCGGUGUGCUGAUGAUGGGCCAGUCUGGAGGGCUUGAGGCCGAGUUUUGACUUUAGCUUUACCACAGUGAUUUUGGUUGUGUGAGAACGUGCUUUUGGACUUAUAAGUCUGGUAGUGUCCCUAUUAGUGGAAUUUAUGGCUCGAUGAGUGGUUGGAUGGCUAUGUGAUGAGUAAGAUGUGGCCGUGGGAUGUGUUCAGAUGGUUUGAGUGUGACGAGAAGAGUUAUCUUGAGAUGUAAAAGGACUAUUGGGUGCUUGAUUUUUGUCAUGAUUUGACGUAUAGUCUCGAGUUAUGACUGUGUUGAAGGAAUCUUCAUGUUUAAUUGUGGAAUGAAUGGGAUUCUCAUGACUUGUUGAUGAGUUCAGACUCAGGAAGAAUAAGUGAUUUCGUGGGAGUUGUGACUGUGAAAGGGCAUAGAGAGAUGUCAGUUUGAGGCUAAGCAGGCGGGUUAUCACCUACGGGGUGUCCUGAGGUUGUGCGAUCCCAAUGUUAUUUCUGUGGAGAAUUUUCUCUUAUCGGUGGGUUAUAUGUGUAGCAACUUGAGUUUGGAUCACUUGAGGAGGUUGGCUUGACUGUCACGAGGAUGAACGCUAGCUUAGCAGAUGAUUCGAGGUAUUAUAUGGUUUGUGUUACAUGAGCUUAUGAAGGAUUUAGUUGAAUCUUAUUGUGGUAUUAUGGAAGUAAUAGAGUAUGGGUAUUGUGAGUUAUCGAGUGUUUUGAUCUAUGUCUUUGAGCCAAGUGGGGGAGUUUGCUAUUGACGAUUUGAUUGCAUGGUUACGUGUUGUAUUGGUUUCGGUCUGAGGCAUACUUGUGGAUCGGUUAUGACUUGUAGAGGCUAGUUUUGAGGAUGUCUUAAGCAAGGAAAUUUCUGGAUGUAUGGUGUAUUAUAUUUUAUGGGUAUACAGGAAUCAUGGAAUGAUUGAGGUUUUAUUCAUGAAGGAUGUAGUGCGCAUGGAGUAGGAAUUUGAUCGGUUGAGUUAAGGCGAGGUUACUUAUAUGGGUGUUGUCGUGAUAAUGGGGCACAAGUCGUUCGGCCCAUUUGAGGCAGUGCAAUUGAGAUUUGAGCCGAGUGGAUGACUCUCGAAAAAGUUCUAAUAGAUUCAAGAUUUUUAUGUAGCAAUUGUGAAUUUUUUCGGAUUUGUAUAUGGCUAGGAUUGAGAGUUUUCAUUGUAUGGUGUCGAGACUUGUGGAAUUUCUAUAUCAUUAUGGAUUCUACAUUUCAGCAUCAGGAAGGUGAAGUAAAACGGCUUUAGAUUCACAGAAGGUAUCUUCAGAGUGGGUGUCUGGGUUGUGGUUCUUUUGGGGUAUUUAAGAGGGAAUACAACGACAUAUGGGCCUUAGGGCAGUGUGGUUUUAUUCUAAUAUCUUUUGGACUGAGUCUUGGUUGAGGAUCAUGGUAUUAUAGUGAGGAGGAGUGUCAACUUGAGGGUAAUUCGGAAGGAACUCGGAGAAAUAGGGCAACCCGAUAGUAGGUUGGAUCAAUAUGGUAAUGGUAUGCUCGAUUCAUUUAGUUCUAAAGACGUGGUGAGUCUCUACAGGUGUUUUGUAGCAGUACUCUUGGGUUUGGGGACUCGCGUAGCUUGGUUGAGUUAGAGAGAUUCAGUUCUGACGACUUGAUUAUUUGCAAAUGGAUUUCAAAGUGCUCUCGAGGAUUUCUACCAUUGUUAAAGGUGUAUAUUUCUUACCGGCCUGAGGAACAUGUUGUGUAUUGUAAUUUUCUCCUUGAUGAGAUCAAAUGGAAGGCUCCUGGCCAAUUGAGUAUGUAGUUUGCUUGCAACUCAGAGUUGAUUAUGAGAUUCUCAUACUUUUCCUAUGAUGGGAUGAUAUGUGUGGUGUGUUAUGUGGGAUUGAUAUUUGCAUGUGCAAGGUAACGGGUCCAUAUCGAAUGGAAGAUCAUAAAUUCUUAGACAGUAUGGACAACUUCCAAAGUUUAGAUGAAUGCUAUAACUAUUUGGUAAUUCCUGGGAAGGGUGCACAUUUUAGAAGGUGCACUGUGUUUAGACUUACGGAUGCUUCAUUGGUUGAUCGACUACUGAUAUUCAGAUUUUUCUAUGUGGUAUGGAAGAAUUAUAGAAGUAUUCCUUGUGGGAUGAUCGUGUAUUAGAUAUACGUUAGAUAUUUGGAUGACGGAGAUGGGAUUAGAUAUGGUGAUUCAUGUGUUAUAUGAACUUGGAGACCAGAAGCUCUCGAAAACAGAUCGCUUCAUGGUUGUGGAAUGUGAAGAUGUGGCCAAAGCUAGCCAGGUGAUAGUAUGUGUUAUGGUUCAGUCAUUAUGGACUUUCAGAGGGUUAAGUAUCUAUUUGUGGGUAACCAGAGUGGAUUUGGGGUCCAUUGGCAGGCCUAAUGAGGAUGUGUAUUCUAUACAGGGUCGGAUUGGUUGACUUUGUACUGUUGUUGUUAAGGGAUGUGCCAUUCGGUUAUAGUUGAGGUUAUUCGUAUUCUGAGAUGUUCUAUGAGUUACCCUUUUAUGCUACGAGGGGUUGGAAUCUGUUGGUUAUAGGCACACAUGUUGCAGUCCUAUUUGGGCCUUAUAUCAUAAUUUGAGCGAGAUAGAUAUUAGGGUGUUGAAUAAUUGAUUGCGCAUUUGAUUAUGUUCUUUCCAUACUGUGGUAUUUUGUUAUUGGUUCCUCCAUGGUUAUUGUCAUGCACCUUGGGUACUUGAGGUCGAAUUGCGCGUGGCUGUUGAUUUUGGGCAUGGUGGCUCGAGGUAUUUCAUAUGGACAGUGUUUGGACGAGGUCACGCAUUGCGAAGGAGUUAUGUUGAGAUAUGAUCCUUUAUGUCAGAUUCGUGUGUCGUGGUUCUACUAUGUAUGAUGGACUCGCGACAUUGCGGUUUUGGUGGUAUUUGUUGAACUUGCGAGAUGGUUCUCUCAUUUGAGUCAUUUUCCAUGAUUGAGUACAUUUGAAUUGUUACGUAUUGGUGCACGGAUUGCACGGUUUGUGGCUCUAUGUAGUAUUGGUGCCGCGUGUCAAAAGAGUAGCUUGUAUUUGAUAAGAGGAGGUCGUCAGACCUAGAAUGGGUACUAUCAGAUUUGAUUGCAGUAUAUUUGAAAGGACAAUGUCGCUGAUUGGCUUAGAAAUUGGCUAUAGUUCUUGUCGAAGGAGAGGGAUCUCCAAAGCUUGUUGAUCUGAUGAGUGAUUAGGAGUUUCUUCUUGUUUCUUUCAACAUCAAUAGUGUACGAAGGUUUUCGAAUGAGGUUUUGUUUGAUAUGAGGUUUAUUACUGGCAUUGGGUUAUUUUGAGUAGCUACUGUGAUCGAAUAUUUUGGUACGAGUAUGCGAGUCAUGUGGUAUGUUAUGUGAUUACAUAUUGGGUUAUGGUUAUGGCUUGAUAUAUCUUGUUCAGACUGAUACAGUGUGUGGCAGCGAGAUUCGGGUCUUGGAGGAAAUUCUAGGUGUUGGAAAUUGGAUUAUGUGAUUUACGGGCUGAGAUUGAAGUAAUGAUCUUCAGUUAUGUUGUGUUUCCGGGGCUAUAUGGAAUAGGGUGACGUGGAAUCACCCCCGAGUAUGUGCAUGGUAAGGUUACACACUGGUUGCUGGCUUUGGAACGACUCUCCGGACGUUCGAGGACGAAUGUAUAUUUAAGUAGGGGAGGUUGUAAUGACCUGACCGGUCGUUUUGAGCAUUUGCACUUCGCUCGGUAGUUUGAGGGAAUGAGUAGCUCCGUAUGAUGUAGUAUGACUUGUGUGAAUUGUCGGUUUUAGUUUUCAGGUUAUUCAGAAUCGAUUUGAAGAAUGAAUUUCAUGAUUGAAGCUUUAAGUUAUAAGUGUUGACCAAGUUUGACUUUUUAGUAUUUGACCUCGGAUUGGAGUUUUGAUGGUUUAUUUAGGUCCGGAUGGAGAUUUUGGACUCAGGCAUAUGCCCGGAUUUGCAUUUGGAUGUUUCUAAAAGGUUUCGACGCAAAUUGGCGAAAGUUGGAAAUUUGAAGGUUUGAAAAGUUCAUAAGUUUGACCAAGAGUUGACUUUGAUGAUCUUGGAUUCAAAUUGUAGUUUCGGGAAUUGGAAUAGCUUCAUUAUGUCACUUGGGACUUGUAUGCAAAAUUUAGGUUCAUUUCUGGUUGAUUUGAUAUGUUUCGGCGCGAGUUUUGGAGGUUGAAAGUCCAAAAUUCAGUUAAGUUCGAAUUGAGGUGUGAUUCGUCGUUUUGAUAUUGUUAUGUGUGAUUUGAGGCCUUGAGUAAGUACAUGUUAUAUUAUGGGAGUUUUUGGUAUGUUUGGAUGGGGUCCCGAGGGGUUCGGGUGAUAUUCAGAUAAGUUUGGGUUGUGUUGCGCUCAUUUUUAUAUGUUUCAAUGUCGUUUCUUCAAGCAUAAAUGGUACCACAUUAAGCAAAUGAGCUCCAAUUUUUGUUUUUAUUGGAGAAUCAGACCCGUAUCGUAAUUUUGGAACUACAACAACUGGAAUCAUCAAGUUUUGACAUCGUAUGAGGAAAUUAUGUUCAUUUUACUAAGAAUUGGGUUGCCAGAUGUUUCAUCUUAAUUACGAAAUUGCCACUGCAUUCGUAUUUAAAAAUCUGCAUUAUUUGCAAAUAUUAAAACCAUCAUAUCUCCUUCAUUAUAAGGUCAAAUGAAGUGAUUCAAAAGCCUAACGUGACUGGAAUGUUACAAUAAAUCCAUUGGAGGCAUCAAAAGUGGGUUUCGGGAUCAUUUGUCAAGAGAAACGAGGCAGAACAGCUGGGUUGAAGCAUAUAAAUCAAGGGUUUAUUCAUUUGGUCAUAUUUUGAGUUAGGGAGCUCGGAUUUGGACGGUGUUUGAACUGAUUUUCACCACAUGGAUUGGAGUAAAUGUUCUCUACUCAUUUUUUAUUAUAUUUCAUGAAUCUAUCUUUAUUUUUGGCAAUUGGUUGAUGAUGUGAAGAAAGACAUUGUUGAGUAUAUGGCACAGUGCUUGAACUAUUAGCAUAUUGAGUAUGAGCAUCAGAGGUCGGGUAGUUUGUUUUAAGGCUAGAUAUACUAGAGUGUAAGUGGGAGCGAGCAUAUCACUAUAGAUUUUGUGGUUGGGCUGCCAUGGACCUUGAGGAGAUUUGAUGUCAUAUGGGUCAUUGUGGACAGAUUGACCAAGUUUGCACACUUCAUUCCAGUCACUACCUACACUUCAGAGCAGCUGACUCAGAUUUAUCUUAGAGACAUUGUUGGCUUGUAUGGUUUCCUAUGUCUAUUAUCUCGAUUCAAGGCACUUAGUUUACAUUGCAUUUUUUAGAGGCGUGUAGUGUGAGUUGGGAACACAGGUCGAGUUCAGUAUGGCACUUCACAGCCAAAUGGAUGGACAGUCCGAGCGUGUUAUUCAAAUCAUAAAGGACAUGUUGCGAGCCUGUGUCAUUGAUUUGGGGGGCCAGUAGGAUCCGUUUUUGCCAUUAGCAGAGUUCACCUACAACAAUAGCUAGCAGUUGAGUAUCAAGAUGGCUCUAAAUGAGGACUUAUAGGGAAGUCAAUGUUGUUCUUCGGUUGGUUGGUUUGAGCCUGGGGGGUUAGGUUGUUGGACACUGACUUGGUUCGUGAUGCUUUGGAGAAGGUAAAACUAAUUUAUGAGUGGAUUCUAUAGCGCAGUCCAGGCAAAAGAGUUAUACUGAUAAAAAGGCUCGUGAUGUGGCAUCCAUGGUAGGUGUGAUGAGGCUCAGGAGUAAGGGAAAGUUGAGCCCUCGGCAUAUUAGUCCUUUUGAGGUUUUAGAGAGAGUUGGUGAGAUGGCCCAGAAACUUGCGUUGCCACCUAGCAUAUCGGGAAUUCAUCCAGUGUUGGUACUAUGAGGAUUCGUCUUAUGUGUUAGAUUUAAACUUGGUGCAGUUGGAAAAGGAUUUGACUUAUGUUGAGGAAACGGUAGCCAUUUUGGAUAGGAAAUUCGAAAGUUGAGGUCAAUGAACAUUGCAUUGGUGAAGAUUCAGUGGAAGGGCCAACCUUCGAGGAGGUGACUUGGGAAAUCGAACAUGAUAUGCGGAGCAGAUACCCCCAUUUGUUUGAUAUCCCAGGUAUGAUUCUAAACUCGUUCGAGGACGAACGUGUUUUUAAGAGGGGGAGAAUGUAAUGACCCAACUGGUCGUUUUGUCUAUUUAAGCCAUGUUCCCCUAUUUGAUGCUUCCCGUAGGUAUAUUUGUUGUUAUGUGACUUUUGAGGAUGGGUGGUUUGGUUUCAGGGAGGUUUUGUAUUGAAUUGGAACACUUAGUUCCUAGUUGAAAAUAUUCACCAUGUUUGACUUUUGUCUAUUUGACCUUGGAUCGGAGUUUUGAUAGUUCUGUUAGGUCCAUAUGGUGAUUUUGGACUUAGGCGUCCGGAUUGGAGGUUCAUUGGUUUAUUUGGCUAUAAUUGGCGAAAGCUGCCAAUUUGAAGAUUUAGAAGUUUAUAGGUUUGACCCAUAGUUGACUUUGUGGUUAUCGAUGUCCGUUUGGGAUUCCGAGCCUUGAAAUAGGUUUGUAUGCUUAUUUAUGAUUUGUAUGUAAAAUUUGGGGACAUUCCGAGUUGUUUAGGCAUGUUCGACGUAUGUUUGGAAUUCAAAAAGUUUGAUUUGUUUAUUAAGUUUGAAUUGAAGUUUGAUUCGUGGUUUAGAUGUUAUUUUGUGUGAUUUUUGUCCUCGAGUAGGUUUGUGUUUUGUUAUGGGAUUGAUUGGUAUGAUUGGACGAGGUCCCGGAGGCCUCGACUGUGUUUUAGGGUGUUUUCGGACCAUUUCCAUGAGUUUUGAACAACAGAUUUUGCUGGUGUCUGAUGUCCUUCACUUUCAUGGAAGGCAGCCACGUUCGCAAAGAAAAGAGUGGAGCUAGGUAGCAGGCCUUCGCGUUCGCGAGGCUCUAGGUGUGUUCGCGUAGGGGAGGGAGCCUAUGCCUUCGCGUUCACGAUGCUCCUGUCGCGUUCGCAUAGGGUAUUUUAUUUGGCAAUGAUUUUGUGCUUUGUGAACGUGAGGCAGAUGUCGCGUUUUUCGAAGGGUAUAACAGGGCAGAGAUUAUAAGUUGUUAUUUUUUGGACUUUUACUUAGUUUAUCAUAUUUUGAGAUUGGGAGCUGAGUUUUGGGCGAUGUUGGAGGAGAUUUUCACGACUUGGAUUGGUGUAAGUUUUCUUGACUGGGAUUUGAUUAUUAUUCAUGAUUCCAUCAAUGAUUUUAGCAUUUGAUUAAUGAAUCUAAGUGAGCAAAAAUUGGGGAUUUUGGCAAAACAUUUCUAAAAUUAAUAACAAGGAUUUGAACCCCGAUUCGGAGUAUUUAGAUGAAACUUGUAUGAUUGGACUCGUAUUCUAAUGGGUGUUCGGGAUUUGUGACUUUUUUUGGUUUCGGGAGGCGGGCCCGAGUUGAUCUUUUGGUUGAAUAUUUUAUUUUUGGUAAAGAUUGGAGCUUUAUUAAUUGGAAUCAAUUUCUAUAGUCGUGUUUGAUAUUAUUAAGUUGUUUUCUUCUAGAUUUGAUUCAUUCGGAGGCUUUGCGAGGAAAGGGCUUUUUAGAUUAUUGAUUUGGCUUACUUGAGAUAAAUAUCUUGACUAACCUUUCGUGGGGGAAUACCUCUUAGGAUUGGGCCGCAAUUGCUUAUUUAUGCUAUGUUAAAAACCAACGUGUACACGAGUUGACGAGCGUGUACACGGGUAUUGCCACAAUGGAUUGUAUUGGUUCUAUUUUCGCUUUUAUAUUAAACUCUAUUUUAUUAUAUCAUGUUUUUAUUGAUUUAAAUGAUUUUAAGUGAUCGGCUUACCUAGUUUUAGAAAUUAGGUGCCAUCACGACCCUUGUGGUGGAAUUUGGGUUUGACACACUCAUGUGCGAUGAUGAGUACUAUUUGACUGAGGACUAUAGUUAGAUGGUUUGGAUGUGGCGGGGAGGAUUUUAUUGGGAUACGAAGAAACUCGGGAGGUGGAUUCUUAUAACUUGUUGACGCGUAUAGACUCGAGAGGGUUAAUAGAUUGCAAAGUGGUUAUUACCAAGGUAGAGUCAUAUAAGAUAUCACUUUGAGGUCAAGCAAAUGGGUUAUUGAUCACGUCCAAGACACACCCCAAAAAAGGAUAUGAAAAGGUCGUAGCAAUAUAUAUUACCCAACGAGAGUUGGAGUCGUACAUAUUUAUAAGGGUGUUAAAGUAAACAUGUAAGUAGUCAACUUAAUGUAGCUUAAAUUAUCUUUCAAGCGAAAGUGGGUGUAGCAAAUCUCCUAAUUGAACUAGGAGGUUGCUAAGGAAUAAACCAACAAACACUUAAUAUACAAUAUUUCUAAGAAGUUUCAACAAAUGGAGAAAACCCUAGAGUUGUAGUCCUAACCUAGGUAUAAAUACCUCUCGAUUAAAGAGAAAAAUCUUUACUUGUUAGAUCGGGGUUGUUAUGACUCUCAAAACUCAAGUACUCACUAAAUACCUCUCGAUUAAAGAGUGAUUAUGCCCAAUUUAACUUUCUCAAGUCUAAAUGGGUAGAUAUAAGCGCAUUUCAUUAUGAGGCCAAGAUGGAUUAUCACUAUCUCUAGCCCAAAUCCGUUAACUAAACAUAAUCAAUCCCUCAACUAGUUUAAUUUCUUGUUAUCCAAGUUUUCCUAGACAUAGUUCCUCUUUAUCAAGUAAGAACAAGGUCAAAUAGGCAUAAAUCAAUGUUUGCAACCAUUAAUCUCAACUUUAACACAUAUACAUGGCUAAAUAACACUUAACCCAAUCAUAAAAAAGUAUAAUAUUAAUGGCCCAUAAGAUUGACAAAUAGGUUGGAUCACAACCCUAGAUAAAACUCUAGCUACUCAUACUACAAGACAAAGAAAGAUAAAAAUAAGAAGAAAUUAAAGAUAUAAAACUGAAAAUAAAGAAAUAGUAGAAGAUCUUCUCUAAUUGAAGCUCAAACUUGCUCAAAAUAGUUAAAACUAACUAACUCUCAUCUGCUACAGUGAAACGAUGCCCUAAAAAUCUAUAAAGUUAUAUGACUCCCAAAAUCUCUGGCAAAAAUGCCCUUCAGAGGGUUUGCGGCCUCCAAAUGACUUAUGUAGUCCUCAAUGUGCUGGAUUGACUUUGCAUGUGCUGUCAGUGGGUAGAGUUCUACGGUCGCACUUUAAAAAUUACAGCGGCACAAAAGUUGAUGUGCGGCUGCACUUCUAGUUUUGUGGACUGCACAUGAGGAGGUUUCAGGAUAGACUAACUGCUCAUUUUCUUAUCAUUCAAGUCAUCAAUGCGAACCAUUUUGAAGAUUAGAGUAUGACCACACAUUUUCUUCUGCGGACCGCACUUUUUUCCUAAAGUUCUUGAAGCUUCAUUUCAUCUUUUGCGGACCGCAAAUACUUUUGCGGCCGUAGUUCCAUUUUCGUGGACCGCGCUUUUCUCUGCACUUCUUCUCUUCACUGAAUUACCUAGGAUUAUCUCCUUUUUGUAUCAUUAUUCUUCCAAGGCCUUAAUUCCUUUCCAUUUUAACCAUUUUUAUUAGAAUUGAGAAUAAAAUUAGUACUUUUGGACUAAAACUAUAGCAAGAAGGCACUAAUAAGCGGUUAAAUUCCACACUUAUCAACUCCCUCAAACUUAAGUCUUUGCUUGUCCUCAAGUAACUAAAUUAGCACCCUCUUUUCGUCACUCUUUAUAGGCAAUUCAAGGAGUCAACCACAAGUCAUUCAUACUCAAUUAGGACCAAUAGUUAUCCACAACACCCAUGCAUUCUAGACAAGGUGUCCAAUUUUCAAAAUGAUACAUCAUGCCCAUCUCAUAUAAUUAUAGUGUGACAUUUAAGCCUCAAGGGUUAACUUCAUUCAUUAUGAAUUCUUGUUCCUUUAUGCUCGUCACGGUGGACUCCAAACUCUUCCUCUUCUACCUUCUAUUUACAUUGCUCACUUCAAAAUUUAACACUUAAUUUCUAAUGCAUCAAAAGUUUCACCCUUCUCUCACAAAGAAUGGUCACAAGUUAAACUUCAAGUACCAUGGGCUUUCUCUUCAUGUACAUCUUCACUAAUAUAAGCAUACUCGGUUUGAAGUCAAAUAGGGCUUCUUUCGUGUUGUAAUGAAUGCUUUCGGUUAGGGGUAGUGUCACGCCCUAAAAUCGAGGAGCGCGACCGGCGCUCAACUAAGUGAACCCGACCGAGCAAGCUUGUUAGAUUUUCUUCUAUCCAAACUCAUCCACGAAUGAAUAUAAUACAUAUUUUCAUUAAUUAGACAAAACGUGAUCAUGUCUACAAUACCAAUUCAUUACCAAUAGUUUUCGUCAUUUUUAAAGUCUCAAAAGGGACAAGAAAUACAACCACAACAUAAUAUUGUUUGUCUUUCCCAGCACCAAUACACAACCCACACUAUGUUUACGGAGCCUCUAUAGAUAAAGAAGAGUACAAUGAUAAUGCCGGCAAUAAGGCCUUGGCUAUACCUCAAACAUAAUACACAAAGUACAAAAGAUUCAUGACUCCGGGAUGAAAUGAGGCUGACCGAGUUAGCUGGGAAGAAGGUGUACUGCUAUCACUGAUCAAUAUCUCCUGCUGUGGAACCACCUGCAUCCAUUUAAAGAUGCAUCGCCUCCGGCAAAAGGGACGUUAGUACUGUCGAAUAGCACUAGUAUGUAUAACUAAACACCCUCUCAAUAGAAUAACAAAUAAUACAAAUAAGAUUAUCAUAAUAUUAAUGGAAGCCUUAAUCAACAUCAAACCUCAAUUUAGGAUCAAGACAGUGUUUCAAUUAAUUUCCAUAUCUCACAUUGGGAAAUGUUUAGUAUCGAUAUACCAUUGUCCACAAUUUCAUUAUUCACAAUACCAGUACCACCGUACUCUCAGCACGGUGUCUGAUCAUUAUCCGAUCGGCUAGGCUAUUUCAUUUGAGAUAUCAACCACAAUUACUCUCAAUAUCAAUACCACCAUCUUUAACACCGAGCCUGAUCACGACCUGAUCGGUUAGGCUAUCCAUUAGGGGCAUCGACCAUAAUCAUAAUUUCAAUCACAAUUUCCAGCACAAUCACCACCAUGUGUGCGGCAUGGUGUCCUAUCAUGACCCUACCGGCUAGGCUGUCUUAUUCGAGACAUCAACCUUUUUAUAUCAAUCAUCAUAUUUCAUAUUACUUUCACAUAUUUUCAUUUCAUUAGCACUGGUGGCCAUAAUUAUAAGAUCAUUCUUGGCACGUUGGCCAUAUUUAGUAUUUCAAGCUCACCUUUUAACUUUCCAACAUCAACAUCAUUAACAACAACAACAAUUCAAAUCAAGGCAUAUAGUACACAUGUGAGCAAUUAAGAGUUUAAGGCACAUAGAGAUUCUUCACAAAAUUUGGCAUAAUUGCCUUCAUUUGAAAUUAACUUGAAGUCGAACAUUUCUAAUGCACAACCCACAUUUUUAACACAUCCUCAAUUGAUAACAUAUCAUAAAUAAGGUAUUUGGAAUACUUGUUUAACAUAUAUCUUUCAACCCAAUCUUACUCGAAAUAGCCAAUUUUAUAAUGAACCACUCGGGACUUACAUAAUUCACAUGAAUAUCGUGGGAUCCAAUUCUAAGAGAAUAGUUUAGCCAACAUAUCUCAAUUUAGCUUUCUUAAACUCUAAAAUGUUCCGAAAUUUUUAGCAACUUCAAUCUAUUGUAGAAAUAUAACAAAUUGAAUCAAAAUUAGGAAGAUGAUUAUGGUUCUAGCUCAUUUGAGCAUUUUAUCAAACAGUAGGUGUGCAUUAAGGUUUCAAGGUCCUUUUAUGGAGGAUUCCAUCAUCCCACAACCCAAUCUUUACCAUUUUUAGCUCAACAAUCUUUCUACACCCUUUGAUAACACAUGCAUGUAAAAUAAACAACUCUCAUGCCGAAAAUGUAUCUUGUUAAUUACUCAUUUCUAGACAAAAUUUAAAAUUGAGAGUUAGGGUAUAGAAUAUUACCUCUAGGAUGAAGACCUAGUGAGUUUCCCUUCUUAAUCUUCCAAAAUUUGAGCAAGAAUUGAAUAACAAUUAUUGAAGAACACCUUCUCACUCUAGAGCACUCUCUCUCACUCUAAAAUGUCAGAUUUUAGCUCAAAAAUGGCCCAAAGCGUGUAUUUAACGAAGUAGGCUCGGAUUUUAAAAACCCAAAAAUGGAGCUCCGGAACAAGGUCUACAAUGGAUAUGCGAUCGCAUAAUCGAUAUGCGGACCGCAUAUCGGUCGCAUAAACAGUGCACAAUACUGAAAAACAUUUGUCUGUAUCUGCGGUCACUAUGCGGCCCGCAGACCUGUUCUGCGGUCGCAUAAUGAACCGCAGAACAGUCAUACAGUCGCAUAGUCGAUCGCAGAAUUUCAUCCAAACUGGCCCUCUCCUGCCUCACUUCUGCGGUCAUUAUGCGGCCCGCAGAGUGAUUUUACGGUCGCAUAAUAGACCGUAGAAACGCGUUUUUCUUCCAAAUAUUUUCCUUUACUUUCCGGUGCAUUAUAAAGGAAAUAUUUUUUUUUUGUAAAAUUUUAUGGGACCUUACAGGUAGUAUAGUAUAUUGGCUACAAUGCUUACACCUUUUCCUAAGCAAUUCGUUCAACAUUUAUUGGCUCAAAUAAUUUUAUAAGACACCAUGGAUGGAACUCUUGAAGGAUAUUCUUCUUUUUGGAGGCUAGAGAGACUUUCCAUCACUCUUUGUUGUCAAUUUCAUUCACUUUCUUCCAUGAUUUUACUUUAGGAUUUUUCUCUAGGCUAGAGAUACUUGGCUCACUCUUUGUCAUCAAUUUCCUCUAUGCCCCUUCUUAGGCCCCUUUUUGUCUUCAUUGUUUACAAUACUUGUUUUUUGUUUUUCUUUUUCUUCCAUGAAGAUCAUCUCUUCUUUCUUUUUGGUGCCUUGGUAUCUCUUUAGAUUUAUCAAUACUUCCCCAAAACUUAAUCUUUAUUCCAUGUGAUGAUUAUGAGUGCUUAGGAAUGUUUGGGGUGCCAAGAAGAGAUAUGAACAAAAAUGGUGAAAAGCUUGUAGCAAGGUUGCCAAAAGAACAAGGCUAAAGCUAAAAGGGGGUUUACUAUGGAUAAUGAUCAUAGGGUGGCAAUUGAAAACUCAAACAAUAUCAUAUUCCAAAUCAAGCAAACUCAAAAUUUCACCUUGAAUCACACUCGGGGAAAGUUCUAGAAUAUCCACUUAAGCACUUGGAUUAGAAACAAAAUUUCACCUCACCUCUCCUGCAAAUAGACCGUAAAAGAAGAUCGAUUCCAAAACCCAUAAUGACCACAAUCGAGUUACAAGAUCUCUAUGGUCUACUAAACUACGUAAUGAUUCUCAAAGAUAAUACAAGAGCCUCAAAGUCACUUUCCUAGAGUUACUUCCUCAAAAAAUGAUUCACAUCCUUGUCUCAAAUCAUAAGCAUGCAACUAAGUAUGUUGGAACCAUAUGAAGCUUAAAUAACCUGUUUUCAUAGAAGAGCUUAAUUAGGCUUUUAUUCACUACUAGUUACUACUAUCAUUACCUAAACAUGCAACAAACUAAUUCCCUUAAGAAAGUUAUCACACUAUCCAUCCUCGGAAAAAGUCACUCGGUUAACACAAUAAACAACCUUUGGAAAGAACUAUGACAUUAAGAAAAACAAAGGUUUAUUGAACAUAACAAGAAAUAAAAACAUAUCUAUCAAUAAUAGCAAAACAUAACUACUAAUUACUACUAAACGUAUCAAACUACUAUAAACUAUCAAAUAGUAUCAUCAAAUUAUUACAUCCCAAUUCAAAUCAUCAAAUCCUCCACCUCCAGAGAAAAGUAAGCAUUGUCCCCAAUGCUUAAAAAUAUAAUAAAAGAGUAAAGAAUGAUAAAGAGACUCCCUACGCAUCCUCGGUCACUAGGGUAUCACCAAGUGGGUCAGUUUGGGCUGCCUCAGCCAACUGGAUAGUAUCAUCAUCCAUGGGAAUUUUUUGAGAUGUAAACAUGUCACGCACCGCAAAAGUACUGGAAAAAAGGCAAGGCUCCUCAGUGUGAGUGGCAUGGGCAUCUUAAAAGGUCAGAGCUAGGUAUGGCUGGGCGAGGUGAAUAAACAUGUUAAAAGGUAGGAUGUCAGUCUCGGUUAUCUGCUUCACUUUAGCCUAUAGUGCCUCAAGUGAUUGCUUGGUGGCCUGGGACUUCCUCAUCUUCUUUAACUACUUGUUCAACCGCUAAAUCACUGAACCAUGUUGAACCAAUGGAUCCAUUAUCACCUUAUAGUUGUCUAAUAUCUAUUCAAGAUAGUCAUAAGUGACAGAAGUGGACUACUCGGGUACUGCAUCAGAUAGCUCAGUCAGCUUUGUUGUAGCUAUCUGCCUCCAAUUGUUGAGGCUCACCAAUGUCUGAGAGACCCUCAAAGAUAAUAAGGGCCAGUAGGCAUAGGUACAAGCCUCAGUGCUGGUGUAGGUGGUGGGAAACAACUAAUGGUGGCUUAGAGUCAGUAGCCAUGGCAUGGGUGGAAGGCUCAGCUAAGGAUGAAUGAAUGUCAGAUGUACCAGAAACUACUAUUACAGGCUCAUAAGACUGGCUAGUAGGAGGAUGAGGCUUGCUGCUUCUCUUUGCCUUGGGUUUUCUAGUGUCUUGCAGCUUGUAUAGGUCAACGGGGCAUUUUGGCUUGGUCUUGGUCUCGUGUGGUCGAGACUCUACCUUAGCAUUCGUCAUAUACACUAUCACAGUGCUCGGAUAUGGGAAGAAGGUGUUAGACUAUUGUGCACCAUAGUAAUGUUGGCCGACAUCGAGGCACCCACAUUAACUAGAUACCCAACCAUAAUGGAGGCCAAUAGAACUGCCAUUUUCAAGGAUAAAUGGUUCUCAUUUAAACACGGAUCAAGCCAGGUGCACACAAAUAUCUUCCAUCCCUUUGCCUUGAAACUCAGAGUCUUGCGGAAAAUUUGUGCUCCCGCAGCCACCCAAGGUGGAGUAUACCCUGGUGCAAGAAUCUUAGCAAGCCAUGGUCGGACUGCCUCCAUCUCAGCUAGUUUAGCUAAGUACACUAUUAGCUCCACAUUUUCAAGUCCCAGAUACUCAUUGAGGAUUCUCUGGUCAAAUUUUACUUUGCGGUUGCACACUUUGGUGACCGUUGUCUCUUUGACAAUGUCUGUUGUGUUGGCAUACAACUCACGGACGAGAUGUUAUUUUACAUCAACCAACGGCUCUAUGAAUUACAUCCACCUUUUUCUAUAGGUGAAUUGCUCUAAGAAUGCCAGGUUGUAUUUGCUCAAGUCCAUGGUGAGGAAUUGCAGCUCAUGAGUCAAGAAGUUUUCUUUCCAACCACGUUUGAAGUCGAGGAAAGUAUGGUAGCUUAGGAAUCUAUUGUUACAGACCAAAAUUUUCUUAGUCUUCUCUUUCAUGUCCUUUUCUACCUUGCCCCCUUUUCCAUCAUCAAGGGCAUUAUCUGAAUCAGAAUUGGCUGCACCCAUAUUGGACUCAUGGCUAGUACUGGUGGUGUCUUUGGAUGUAGUAGCAUGAGAUUAGGGCUCAGACUAUACCUACGGUUGAGACUGAUCUUCAUUGCACUCUUCAGACUCAGCAAAUGAGUUCCCUUCAGAGUCUUCCAUAGAUGGUACAUAAGAGUCAAACUCGGAUAAACUAUGUCCUCUCCCCCUCCCAUCUGUUUUCUUUUUGUGAUCAUCUUCUGUACACUCUAUGGCAAGGUGCCUCUACCAUUGACCCUGUCUUGUCUAUCCUGGCAUUUGGAAGUUUUAGAUUUUCCUCUUGAUCGUACCAUUGUCUGUUAAAACACAAAGAGAAAUGUCAAUGGUCAUACAAAUCAUUGACCUGUGGUACAAGGCAGUUAAAAGUCAUAUAGAUUUGGUGAAGCCUAUAAGGAACAUGCAAGAAGUAGGCAGGAAAUGCAGUCCACAAAAUUUACAGUCCGGUCCGCAAAGAGGAAGUGCGGUUCGUAAAAUUCAAAGUGCAGUCCGCACUUUUAGUAUUGCCAUGUUAGGUCUCAGAGAUAAUUCCUGAUCAAUAGUGUGGACUAGCCUUUGCGGCCGCAAAAAAUCAUUGCGGUCCGUAAAAUUAAAAUUCUGGUCUGCCCUUGUGUUAGAGUUCUCAGAUCUCAGAGAAUAAGUUCUCUAAAGAACACUGCGGAUAUCACCUUGCGAUCGCAAAUUACAACUGCGAUGCACAGAUUUAAAUUGUGGUCCACAUAUUUCAAGCACUAAGUCAGUUGGUUCAAUCAAGCAUUUGCGUACCGCAAAAAUUUUGCGGUCCGCACAAUUAGCAACAUAGGAAGUAAAUAUGUGGAAGCCUAGUAAAAAUUUAAGCAAAAAAAUCGAAUCUAUCGGGGAAACCAACAAAAAGCAUGAUUUUAGUAAUUAUUAGCAUCCUAGACCCAUUCUAAGAAUAUUUCACAGAUAACCACUCAUGUUUGAAUCCACGAUGAACAAAUAACAGGGAAGAUAACAGAGAUAAAGUAAAAGAGAAAAAAUAAAAGUUAAAAGGAAAACAAAAGUAGAAAAGAUUGAAAUAUGCCAUAGCAUAUUGUGUUAAUGGAAGUAGAAAGAUUGGAGUGUGAGUUUUUGAUGGCGAAAAACAGUGUGUACAAGUGAUUCCUCAGUAAAAAGCCUUGGGUUAGGUCAAAUGGUGAAAAGCGCAAAAGUUUGACCUAAUCUUCCAUUUAUACCUACUGUUGGGUCCGGUUAAAAAGGGAGAGAGUGUGGAAGUAAAAUUUCAGUUGUGGUCUGCACUCAGUUACCUGGGUGGUGGAAAACAUGAAGACGUGCGGUCCACACUUUUUCAAGUGUGGCUGCACUUGUGCCAACCUUUUUCAGUGAAUCCUCUGAAGCUUCUCAUAUGUAGUCGCAAAAUUUUGAGCGGCCGCAAAAAGCUCUGCAUUGUUGCCAAUAGAAUUCAGAAAAUCCACAUUUGGUACUUGGGUUGUCUCCUCAUUGUACGGUCCGCAAUCAAAAUAUGUGGCCUCACUCCAAUUUUUGAUGUUCGCAGCCAAAUAUUUGCAGGCACACUAAUAAAUCUGUGGUCCAUAAUUCUUUGAAGAGCCUCAACAUUUUCAUCUCACAACACCUAACACUGGUUAGUGCAACACACAUCAAAUCUUAUUGAAAAUAAUAAAACAACAUCUACACAAAAAAUGACGAAAAGAUCAAAAGUAAAAGAGCUUAGGUUGCCUCUCAAGAAGCACCUUAUUUAAUAUUGUGGCACGAUGCAUUGUAAAAGCACCAUAAUUUGAAGUAAAGGACCGCCACUACGUGGAUUUUACCAACUUUUUCUAAGUAAUGCUUCACCCGAUGACCAUUGACUCAAAAGAUUUCAUUGUUCUUGUUCUUUAAGUCCAAUUCACCAAUGGGAGUCAUACUAACAACUUCAAACGAACCACGCCACUUCGAUUUAAAGUUCCUGAAAAAUAUUCUCAACCUUGAGUUGAACAAUAAUACCAGAUCACAUGCCUUGAACUCCUUGUUCCAAAUAUACUUAUCAUGAAGGUAUUUCAUAUUUUCUUUGUACCAGGACGAACUCUCAUAUGCAUGGUAUUGGAAUUCAUCCAACUCAUUCAAAUGUGCAACUUGCAAGUUAGCGGCUACAUCACAAUCAAGAUUUAGCUUCUUCAAGGCCCACAUUGCCUUGUGCUCCAAUUCAACCAGGAGAUGACAAUACCAACCGAUACGGAAACAUUCUAAUAGGUGUUUUGUAAGCUGUUCUAUAUGCCCAUAGAGCAUUAUCAAGCUUCUUGGACCAAUCCAACCGAUUUGCAUUCACCGUCUUUGACAAUAUACUCUUUACUUACCGUUCGAAAAUUUCAACUUGACCACUUGCUUGUGGAUGAUAGGUGGUUGUUACUUCAUGAGUGACAACAUAUUUUCCAAGCGAAGUGUCAAAAUUCUUGUUGCAAAAGUGCAACCCACCAUCAUUUAUGAUUACUCUAGGAGUCCCAAUCUCUUGACUAUGUUCUUCAUCAAGGAAGAGACGACAAUCCUAGCUUCAUUGUUAGGUAAAGCAAGGGCUUCAACCCUCUUAGACAUGUAAUUCACCGCAACCAAGAUGUAAGUAUUACCAAAGGAACUCAUAAAAGGGCCCAUUAAGUCAAUACCCCAAACGUUGAAGAUAUCAAUCUCCAGGAUGGUAGUAAGUAGCAUCUCAUGUUAUAUUGGAAUCCCACUUGCCCAUUGGCAUUCAUCACUUCUUACCAAAUCAUUUGCAUCUUUGUAAGUAGUAGGAAAUUAGAAACCACAACUUAGGACCUUUGUUGCCGUUCUUGAUCCCCCAUAGUGACCACCAUAAGGCGAAGAAUGACAAGCCUCAACAAUGUCACUUUGCUCUUCAUCUGGCACACAUCUCCUAAUCACCACAUCUAUUCAAAUCCGAAAAAUGUACGGUUCAUCCCAAUAAUAGUCAUUGCAAUCCCUCUUGAUCAUUUUUCUUUGGUUUGAAGUGAACUCUUCCGGAACGAUAUCGCUAACAAUGAAAUUAGCCAAAUCCUAGAACCAUGGUACCUCUUGCAUUGAAAGUGCCAAGAGUUGCUCAUCGGGGAAUGAGUCAUUGAUCUCAAGGCCAUUAUGUGGUCUUCCCUCCUCUUCCAAACGAGAUAAGUGGUCCACCACUUGGUUUACACUCCCUUUUUUGUCUUGGAUCUCGAUAUAAAACUCUUGCAAUAGAAGCACCCAUCUCAUCAACCGAGCUUUGGAUUCCUUUUUACUCAUAAGAUAACGGAGUGCUACAUGAUCUGUUUGCACAAUGGCCUUGGCCCUCAUCAAAUAAGGACGAAACUUCUCAAUAACAAACACAAUGGCAAGUAAUUCCUUCUCGGUAAUGGCGUAGUUGACUUGGGCACUAUUCAUGGUCUUACUAGCAUAGUAGACCGAGUGAAAUUAUUUAUUAAUUCAUUUCCCCAAAAUAGCCCUAACCGCUACAUCACCUGCGUCACACAUGAGCUCAAAUGGUAACUCCAAUUCAGGUAUGUAAUGAUAGGAGUGGUUGUCAACUUGAGCUUUAACUCUUCAAAAUCUAUCAUGCAAUCAUCAUUGAAAUGGAACUUUGCAUAUUUCUCAAGGAAUUUGCACCAAGGGUUCAUGACUUUAAGAAAAUAUUUUAUGAAUCUCUGGUAAAAUCCUACAUGACCUAAGAAACUUCACACACCCUUGAUCGAGGUAGGAGGUGGAAGUUUCAAAAUAACUUCAAUCUUUUACUUAUCCACUUCAAAACCAUUAUUUGAAAUUUUAUGACCAAGGACAAUGCCUUCCUCAACCAUGAAAUGACAUUUCUUCCAAUUGAGUACCAAGUUUGUUUCCUCACAUCUAUCCAACACCUUGGCUAAAUUAGCAAGGCAAUAAUCAAACAAAUCCCCAACAUUUGAAAAGUCAUCCAUGAAGACCUCAAGGUAGUAUUCCACCAUGUCCAUGAAAAUAACCAUCAUACACCAUUGAAAAGUAGCAGGUGUGUUGCACAAGGCAAAAAGCAUCUACUUUGAAGAAAAGGUUCCAUAUGGGCACGUGAAAGUGAUUAUCUAUUGAUAUUCCAGUGCGAUAAGAAUUUGGUUGUAUCACGAAUAACCAUCUAAAAAAUAAUAGAAAGCAUGGCCAGCCAACCUAUCAAGCUUUUGAUCCAUGAAUGGGAGGGGAAAUUGGUCCUUCCUUGUGACUUUAUUGGGCUUUCGGUAAUCCGUACAAACCCUUCAUCUGCUAACCGUUCUUGUAGGUCAACUCAUUCUGUUAUUUGGUAACAACUGUCAUUCCCCCUUUUCUUCGGGACAUAUUGAACUAGAGAAGUCAAUGAACUAUCGAAAAUAGGGUAGAUAACCACGACAUCCAAUAAUUUGAUGAUCUCCUUUUUGACCACCUCUUGCAUAGCUUCAUUAAGUCUCCUUUGAUGUUCAAUAGAUGGUUUAGCACCAUCCUCUAACAUGAUCUUAUGCAUGCAAAAUGUGGGGCUAAUAGCUUGUAUGUUCGCCAGAGUUUAUCUAAUAGCUCUCUUCCUCCUUUGUAGGACUGCCAAUAUAGAAUCUACUUGCACAUUAAUCAAACAAGAAGAAAGAAUAACCGGUAAAGUAGAGUAAGGGCCAAGAAAAUCAUACCGAAGGUGGGGUGGCAAUGGCUUCAACUCCAAGGUGUAUGGCACUUUUGAUCAAAGGCUUUGUAAGAGGAGUCUUCUUAUUUUCAAGAUCCAAUGAUAGCUUUCGGGGUGCAUAGUUGUAAGACCACAUCCAUUGCAAAGAGUUAACACAUUCCAUGAAACCAUCUAUUUCAUCAUCAUCAAAAUUGAUUAACACGACUUCCAACAUAUCACCCACAUUGAUUGUGGCACUAGUGUCAUCAAUUAUGACAUCAGUCACCAAGUCCACUAAAGAGCACACCUCAUUGCUAUUUGGUUAACGCAUAAACUUUCACACAUUAAAUAUCGCUUGCUCGUCACCAACAAGGAAAUUGAGUUCUCUGGCCUCUAUGUCAAAAAGGGCCUUACCUGUAGCAGGGAAAGGCCUUCCAAGAAUUAUAGAUAUUUUCUAGUCCAUCACACAAUCAAGAAUAACAAAAUCCGCCGGAAGAAUAAAUUUAUCAACUCGGACCAAUAUAUCUUCAAAAAGUCUCAGUGGUCUCUUCAUUAUAUUAUCAGCCAUUUGCAACCUCAUACAUGUAGGUCUUGAUUUCCUAAUCCCCAAAGUUUUGAAAAUUGAGUAGGGCAUAAAAUUGAUAGUUGCCCAAAGAUCACAUAAAGACUUAGCAAAAUUGGCACUUCCUAUAGUAAAAGGAAUUGUGAAAGCACCUGGAUCCUCCAAUUUACGAGCCAUGGAAUAAAUGAUAGAACUGACUUGAUGGGUGAAUUUGAUUAUUUCAAAUUCCAUUGACCUCUUCUUGGUUAUAAGAUCUUUCGUAAACUUGGCAUAAAAUGGAAUUUGCUCCAAAGCUUCCACCAAUGGCAUAUUAAUAGAGAGACGAUUCAUCAUUUGAAUGAACUUCUUGAAUUGGUUCAUGCCAUUUUGCUUAUCAAGCCUUUAAGGGUAAGGAGGGGGAGACCUUGCUAAAUGUGCCUUGGCCUUUUGCACUACCGGAUCUGUCAUCUCAAUAAUAGGUUCCCUAUACAGGUUCAUCGCCUCUUGAGUCUCUACCAUAUUAUCAUCAAUGUCAAUUCGAACUUCAUCAUGUACUUGAACAUCAUUUUGUGGGACUUAUUCCUUUGGAUAAUUUGGUCAUCAUCCAUAAUUCGUUUUCCACUUUAGGCAGAUGCACUCCCACCGAUUCCACUUCUUUUGACAACCGCCAUGGCAUGCCCUGUAUUGUUACCACCCUUUGGAUUCACUACCGUGUCACUUGGUAAUGAACCCUUAGGUAGAGUAUUAAGAGUUUGAGAUAUCUGUCCCAUUUUAACUUCAAUAUUCCGAAUAGAUGUGGUAUGGUGUUGAGCAUCUGAAUCCGCAUUUCUUUUCCAUCAUUUUUUUGAACAACUGCUUAGUACGACCGAUUUCAUUACUUGUAAAACUUAAACCAUUGGAAAGGUAAUGAGGUGGGUUUUAUGGUUGUUGAUAUAUUGGAGGUCUUGGAAACUCGAACUUUGAUUUGUAUGAUUGAUUUUGUUCCCUUAAUUGACUUGACUAUUACUGACCCAAUUCCCUUUGUUGUUAUUGUUGUGACAAUUUCCUUGAUUGUUGGAACUCCAAUUGCCUUGGUUGUUUUGAGAUCACCAUUGGUUUUGGAUUGGAACCUUGUAAAUUACCUCUUUUCCCUUGAUAAUUGUUAACAUAUUGAACCUCCUUUUCUUGCUCUAUAUAGGAAUCAUCUUGCUCAUAACCACCUUCCUCUUGUGAAUAACUCUCCACUCGGGGUUGAAAUUGGGGACCUUUAGUCCGCUUCUUGUUGGCCAAAACACUCACUCCUUUCAUGGCAUGGACUUUCUUUGGAGAUUGAGUUCGGUGGACUUGAGCUUGAGCAAGUUGAGUCGUGGUAGUGGUUAGUUCCACAAUAUCUUUCCCAUGAUUUUGUAAUUCUUUAUGAAAGUGAAUCAUGUUGGGAUCUCCCUGAGGAACAAUGGCUCGGGAUUGACAAGAUGAAGAUGUCUCUGCCAUCUUAUCAAUAAUAUCACAUGCCUUUGCAUAAGGUGUUGUCAUGAAAUUACCUCCGGCCAUUUGAUUGACCAUAAAUUGAUUCAUGGUAUUGAUUUCGCGGUAGAAUGUUUGUCGAAUAAUGUUGUCGGUCAUAAAAUUAUUGGGCACUCCUUCACCAUAGUACAAUACUGCUCCCAAAUCUCAUGUAAGGGUUCAUUAUGUUCUUGCUUGAAGGCCAAUAUUUCAUGUUGUAGAUUUUCCAUGUGCCCGGGGGAGAAGAAUUCAAAAAUGAACUUUGCCACUAACUCCUCCCAUGUAUGAAUAGAAUGAUUGGGCAAGCGUUACAACCAAUUUAAGGCUUUCCUCCUUAGUGAUAAGGGAAAUAUCUUUAACAUCAAUGCAUCUUCCAAAAUAUUAGUUUGUUUGCUUUCCCAACACACAUCCACAAAACUUUUCAAAUGUAUAUAAGCAUUUUGAUGUGGCGCUCUAGUGAAAUAGCCUUGUUGCUCGAGAAAAGUGAGCAUCACAUUGGUGAUUUGGAAGCUUCCCUAUCCUAAUGUGAGGGGAGGCUAUAGCACUAGAAUACCCUUCAUUAGGCAAAUUCUGGUGUUGUGCUGCUUGGGGUUGUGGUGGUGGUGGAGGUUGGGGAGGUGGAGGCACAAUGUCUUGUUGCCCACGACCUCGAUGGUUUUAUUGUGGGGCAUGUGGCAUUUCUUUAAUUUGUUCCUCCUUUCCAUCCACCUCUCCAAAUGGUAAAUUUCCAAGUUUUUUGUUCACCAUUGGAAACCUACAAUCAAUUAAACAAGUUAGAAUCAUGAAAGUAAAAGAAGAUACUCAAGAAACAAACUCAAAUAUUUAGCUAACACUGUAAACUCCUCGAAAACGAUGCCAAAAAUUGAUCAUGUCCAAGAUACACCUAAAAGGGGAUAUGAAAUGGUUGUUGGCAAUAUAUAUUACCUACAAGAGCCGAGGUCGAACCUCAAUGAGUUUAUAAGGGUGUUAAAGUAACUAUUUAAGUAGGCAACUUGAUGUAUCUUAAAUUAUCUUUCAAACGAAGCGUAUCUACUAAUUGAACUAGGAUGUUUCUACGGACUAAACCAACAAAUACUUAAUAUGACCUAUUUCUAAGAAGUUUCAACAAAUGGAGAAAAGCCUAGAGUUGUAGUCCUACCCUAGGUGUAAACCUAAUGGGUAAAAUGGAUUAUGUUUGCUUGUUAUUGGGGUUGUUAUGACUCUCAAAACUCAAGUACUCGCUCAACACCUCUCGAUUAAAUAGUGAUUAUGCUCAAUUUUUCUUUCUCAAGUCUAAAUGGGUAGCGAUACGUGCAAGUGAUUAUGAGCCCAAGUUGGAUUAUCACUAUCUCUAGUACAAAUCUGUUAAUUAAACUAAUCAAUCCUCAACUAGAUUAACUUCUUGUUAGCCAAAUUUUCUUAGACUUAUUUCCUCUUUCUCAAGUAAGAACAAGGUCAAAUAGGCAUAAAUCAAUAUCUGCAACCAUUAAUUUCAACUUUAAAAAAUAAAUAUGGUUAAAUAAUAGUUAACGCAAUCAUAAACAAGCAUAAUAUUAAUAACCCAUAAGAUUGACACACUAGAGUUGGAUCACAACCCUAGAUAAAAAUCUAGCUACUCAUACUACAAGACAUAGAAAGAUAAAAAUAUGAAGAAAUUAAAGAAAUAAAACUAAAACAAAGAAAUAGUAGAAGAUCAUCUUUAAAUGUAGCUCAAGCUUGCUCAAAAAUAGCUAAAAGUAACUAACUCUCCAUUGCUACAGUGAAAGAUGCCCUAAAAACGCUAAAAGUUCUAUUUAUAAAACUCUCAAAAUCUCUGACAAAAAUGCCCUAAGUAGGGUUUGCGACCGCCAAAUGAGUUUUGUCGUCAGCAAUGUACUGGAUUUACUUUGUCUUUGCUAUCAGUGGAUAGAGUUAUGCGGUCGCACUUCAAGCAUCGCGGCCGCAUAUCAGCUUUUAAGGUUGCAAAUUUAGUUCUGCGGUCUGCACUAGAGUGUAAGACUCCGUAAAAGUUUACCUAAGACCUGGGAUUUUGUGGUGCCGAAGUAGGCUUAUGCAUUGGCAAUUUUAGGGAGUUGAAGAAAAGGUUUUGGGUUGAACAGUGUGUUGGGGAGUUGAAGAAAAUUUUUGGAAAUAAAGGGCAUUUUCUACGAUCCAUUCUGCGGUUGCAGAACUGAUCUGCGGACCGCAUAUCUACCGCAGACAGAGACAAAAAUUUGGGCAAAAUAUUUGGACCCUUAUGCGGUCCAUUAUGCGGCCGCAUAACCCAUCGUAGACCCAGCAUGAAAUUUUCUGGAAGGGAGUUUUACGGCGCAUUAUACGAUCGCAGAAUAGGUCUGCGGACCGCAGACCAGCCAUAAAAUGAGGCAGAAUUUCCCAGUUCCAGAGGGCCAAUGCGACCGUAGAUCUAUGUCGGGGCUUCAUUUUUCAAAUGUUUUUUACCCGACCUUAUUUUGAUUAAAGGCCCUUGGGGCUCAUUUUGAGUGAGAAAUCUGAUGUUGUAGAAAGAAGGGAGAGUAUUCUAGAGAGAGAGAAGGAGACCCUAGGCUAAUUGUUCAUCAAUUUUUGCUCAAGACAUGGAGAAUUCACAAGGAAAGCUCACAAGGUCUUCAUCUAAGAGGUAAGGUUAUAACCAUAGUCUUCAAUAUCGAGUUUAGGUAGAAGAUGGGUAAUUAGGAAUAUGAUUCUUGAGUGUGAGAGCUGUUUAUUUUACAUGCAUGUACCACCAAGUGUAGUGGGAAGAUUGUUGAGCUUGUUUGGGUAGACUUUGGGUAGAGGGAUGAAAGAAUCCACCAUAGGAGGACCUUGAAACCUUAAUGCACACCUAAUGUUUGAUAAAAUGCUCAAGUGAGCUGGAACUAUGAACUCUCUCCUAAUUUGUGCUCAAUUUUGCUAUAUUUCUAAAUAGAUCGACGAGGCUAAGAAUUCUUGAAUAUUGUAGUAAUUUAAAAAGCUCGAGGCGAGGUAUGUUGGAUAAACUUCUCUCUUAGAAUUGAAUUCCCACAAUGUUCUUGUAAGUCCCGAGUUGUACAUUGUGAAUUGAUUUUUAUGAAUAAGUUUGGUGUCGAAAUGUGUAAUUAUACGAAUAUGUUCAAAAUGUGUUCUGGAAUAUUCUUAUCAUAUUAUGUUAUUCUUCGGUAGUUCAAAGUAUGAGUAUGUAUUAAAAUAUUGUGACUUCAAGUCAAGCCCAAAUGAAAGUGAUCAUAUCAAAUUGUGUAAGAAUUCACAUGUGCCUAAGACCAUAAAUUGCUCAAAUGUGAACUUAAAGUUUUGAAUAGAAAUGUUUGUUGUUAACAAUCCGUGUUAAUAUUUGAAAGUGGAAUAGUGAGCACGAAUUAUGAAGUACGGCCAAUGUGCCAAGAAUGAUAUUGCGUUAAGGAUAAUGUUGCCAAUAAAAUGAAUGACAUGUUAAAGAAUAUGAAUUGAAAGGUGAAUACUUUUAAUAAUAAAUGCCUUGAGAGUAUCGUUUAUCCACCGAGGAAGGGUAGGUCGGAACAACCUAACCCAAAAACUACACAUGCCGGUGUAGGAGUGAUUGAGGGCUAAAUCCCCGCGUUAAUGUGAUGAGAUUGUUUCCCCUUAUAUGGGAUGAUAUUGGUGUGUUGAGAUGUUUUCCCUUAAUUGGGAUGAGAUUAUGGCUAGCGUAAUGUGAUGUGAUGUCAACCCACACGGCAUUGUGGUAAGAUGAAUUAGUCGAUCGGGCUGAGAUCAGACGCCAUGUCACGCACAUGGUGAUAUUGUGAGUGUAUGUCUCAUGGUGAGACGGCUUAGUCGGUCGGGCCGAGAUCGGAUUCCGUGCUAUGACACGGUGGUGUAUUGUGCUAAAGAUCUCCCAACUUAAAUUACUGAAACCUACUUAAAAUUUACCUUUCCCCUAACUUGACACCUUGAUAUUGUUUGAGUCUCUUAUUGAUUUCAUGUAUUACUCUCCGUUUACUGUUGCUCAUUCUAUUAAGAGGGUGUUUAGUUUUACAUACUAGUAUUAUUCCAUAUGUACUAGUGUCCCUUUUGUCGGGGGCACUGCAUCUUUAAUGGAUGCAAGUGGUUCCAUAGCAGGUGGUAUUGAUCAGUGAUAGCAGCACACCCUCUCCUCAGCUGACUUGGUGAGCUCCACUUCAUUUUGGGGUCCCGUAUCUCUUAUCCUUGUACAUAGCAUUUUGAGGUAUAGCCGGGGCCUUGUUUCUGGCAUUAUCAUAGCACUCUUUUGUUUUUGGUAGAGACUCCAUAGACAUAGUAUGGGUUGUAUCUAUUUUUGGGAAGGUUAAACUAAAAAUGUUGUAAUCGUAUUAUUUGUUCCGCUUUAUCUAUGAUUGUACAAUGUACUAUUUUGGAAACUUGUUAAUGACGUUACUAGUGGAAAUGAAAUGGUGCUAUUCACAUGACCUCUUACUGUCUAAUUAAUGAAAUGUAUCCUUCUCUUUAUUCAUGGGUGAGUUGGGUAGAAGGUAUUAUAAAGGCUUGCUUGACCGGGGUAUCUCGGUUGAGCGUCAGUCGCGCUCCCCAAGGUCGAGGCGUGACAUAGAGGAGUUUUCAGAAUCCACUAACUGCUCAUUCUCUGAUUGUUCAUGUCAUCAGUGCAAACCAUUUUGUGGAUCAAAGUGCGACGACACAUUUUCUUCUGUGGACCGGACUUUUGCCUAAAGUUCCUGAAGCUUUCGUUCAUCUUUUGUGGCCGCAUUUCUUUUUUCGCGGGCCAGAAAUCCUUUUGCGGCUGUAGUUCCAUUUAUGCAGACUGCUUUUCUUUGCACUUCUACUCUUCACUGAAUUGGCUAGGAUUAUCUCCUUAUCGUGUCAUUCUUCCCCCAAGGCCUUAAGUCCUUUCCAACACACCUGCAAUUCAACCAUUCAUACAAUUGGGAAUAAAAUUAGCAUUUUCGGACUAAAACUAUAGGAAGAAGGCACUUAUGAGUAUUCUGUGGAGAAUAUUCCUUCUAUCUAGUGGAAUUUAUGUACUAUGAUUAGAUUUUAGAUUGCUUGAGAAGGUUCGCACGACAAUCACAAGGACGAGUAUGCACUCUACAAAUGAUUUGAAGUGUGUGUUCUAACCCGUACUAUAUAAGCUUAUAAGGGAUUUAGAUAGUUAACGACGCGAGGUCAUGGCAAGUUAAGAAGGAAGGGAAUUACGGAUUAUCAGAUGUUGUGUUUGUGUCUCCAAGCCAACUGGGGGAGUAUACCAUCAAUUAUACGGUCAUUUUGGCAUAUGUUGCUAUAGUUCCUGGACAUGGAAGCACUUGUGUAAUGGAUAUGGUUUAAGAAGGGUGUGAUCUAGGAUGAUUUGGGCAAAGAAUUUUCUAGAUGCAUGAUGUGUUACACCUUAUGGAUAUAUGGAGGUUGUGGUGUGGCUUAGGUUUGAUAUACCCUUAUGGAGGUAGUGUGCAGGAGGUAGGAAUUUAUCGGUUGCUUCUUUCAGAUUAUUCAUGUGCUACCGAAGCGCUUAUUAUUCGGCAUGGUUGGCUAUGCAUUUGGGAGUAGUUCAGAGUGAGUGACUCUUGAAAAUGGUUCUUUCUCGAGAAUGGUUCUUGUGGAUUCAAGAUUCAUAUGUGGUAUCUAAGGAUUUAUGGAUUUAUAUGUGGUUAUGAUAUGGGAUUUGCAUCGGAUGAUGCCGAGACGUGCGGUACUCCCAUAUCAUCAUUGAUCCUACAUUUCAGUACUAGGGACAGGAAAGAAACAACUUCGGGUUCAUAAAAGGUCUCUUCAGAACUAUCAUCUCGGUUUGAGUUACUUAUAAGUUUGACAUUCUGCAUGACUUGGUUGAUUUAGAUGGAUUCUAUUUUGAUGGCUUGUCUAUGUGUUUAUGGGUUUCAGAGAGUUAAUGAUGGUUUUGACCACGGCUCGAGGUUGAUGUCUUCCACGGGUAUAGAAGGUUUGUUGCAUGUUGUGAUGUUCUCCUGGAUUGAGUUAAGUGAAUGAUUUCUGGUUGAUGGAUUGUUUAUCCUACUCGUGAUUCAGAUUUGAUGAUGAGAAUCCCAUAUUUUUGUAUUGUAGCAUGAUAGGUGCAGUGAGUUGUAAGGCAUUAGGAUUAAAAGGGAUAAGAUUGCAGGUUAAGAUUUGGGAGGAAUGUCAUGAGUUCUAUACAACAUGAGAGAUUUAAAAUGUUUAAGAGUACCCUAGAAAUAUCUUGUAUCGCUUGAGAAGGGAGAGUAUUGUAGAGGACACAUUGAGCAUUAAGUUGCAAAUACUUGACUAGUACUAUAGAGAUCGCAUGGUUGGUAACCGCUGAUGUUCAGGUUUUGUUAUUUGGCAUGGAAGAUUUAUGAGAGUACUCAUUAUUAGAUGUUGUGUAUGAGUGACGUAUGAGUCAUUUGAGUGAGAGAGUUGGAGAUCAUAUAUAGAGAUUCAUGUAUUCUUGAGGUUUAGAGACCGGAUGUUCUUAGAGGUAGACAAUUCCUUGGUUGCGGACUGUGAAGGUAUGUUAAGAGUUAGAUGAAUUAUUGUAUGUGUUAUGGAUAAGUCAAUGUGUACUUUUGGAAGGUUAUUUAUCUAUUUUGGGAUGAUUAGAAUUGUUUUGGGGGUUCAUUGGCAUGCCUAAUGAGAAUGUGUUUUCUACAUCGGAUCGGAUUUGCUUACUCUUGUGCAACAUUUUUCGUGGGCGUAUCAUUGGGUAGAAUGGAUGUAUUUUAUGCCUUGAUCUAUUUCAUUUGUUGCUUUCUUAUGCUAUGAUGGGUAGUGGGACUACUUGAUAAUUUACACGUAUGUUGUAUUUCUGUUUAAGCCUUGUGUCUAUAUGUAAGCGAGAUGGCUCUUGAAAUGUUGAUUUUUUUAUUGCACCGUAGUUGUGCUUGCCUUAUUCAUAGCAAUGGCUAUUUGUCUCCUCAUUUUUUUGUGUAUGCACUUCAUGUUCUUGUUGUUGUUACACCUGAGUUAGGUGGGCAUGAGAAUUAUGGCUCAAUCGGAAUUCCCAUGUGGAUUGCUAUGAUCUUGAAUCAGGUUGUAUGCCGCAACAGAGUUAUGAUAGGAUGUGUUUGCUUGUGUUAUUCCAUGUGUUUUUUCUUCUCCCUUGUGGUAUGGAUUAGUAGCUUUGUGCUUUUAUGGUUGUAUCUAUUGACUUGUAAGAUAGUUCUCUUAUUUAGUUCUCUUUCCAUUAUUGAUCAAAUUCGAGAUGUUGCUUGUUUGGUGUACGGAUUGCGUCGUAUAUGGUUCCAAGUGGCAUUUGGUGUGCCUUUACGGUCGAGCAUCUUAUACUAGGUAAAAUGAGGUUAUUGGACCUGCAAUUAGUACAAUCGGACUUGGUUAGGAUAUGUUUGGAAGAUGAAUGUCAUUAGUCAGCUCGGAAUUCGACAAUGGUCUUUGUCGAGCGAGGGAACUCCACGACUUGUUGAUAUGAUGGGUGGAUUAUGCGUUUUCUACAUGUUUCUUUCAUUAUUAGCAGUGUCGUGAAGGUUUAAAAUAAGAUUUUAUUUGAUAUAAGUAUAUUACCGGUAUCAGAUUUGGUAACGAGCAGUUAUUGUGGUCUGAAGUUAUUGUUAUGAGUACAUGAGUGAUGCGGUACAUCGUGUGAUUAGAUCUUGGUAGUACAUUGACGGCUUGAUGCAACUUGUUGAGAUUGAUACAGUGUAUUUAUGCAAGAAUCGAAACCUAUUUAUUACCUUAACCCUAGUUGCGCACCUUUAUUAUUGUUAUCCAUUAUUCCAUGACUGUCUCUUUGGAUACUCUUCUGCCCUAUAUAUGUUUUUGAGCCGCAAAAGUUAUGUGAGUAUCUUUUUAUUUAAAAAGGUCGUUACUACUUCACCAAGGUUAGUCAAGAUAUUUAUUGAGUAUAUGGGGUCGGUUGUACUCAUACUACACUUCUGUAGUUUGCGUGCACAUAUUUGGAGCUUAGCUACUGUAGAUGAUGGAGGCUAGCAUUGAAGUUGUACCAGCGUUCCAGAUAUUAGCUACCACUUGUUCACCUUUAUUAUUUUUAUCCAUUAUUCCAUGACUCUCUCUUUGGAUACUCUUUUGCCCUAUAUAUGUUUUUGAGCCACACAAGUUAUGUGAGUAUCUUUUUAUUAUUACUACUUCACCGAGGUUAGUCAAGAUACUUACUGAGUAUAUGGGAUCGGUUGUACUCAUACUACACUUCUGCAGUUUGCGUGCAGAUAUUUGGAGCUUAGCUACUGUAGACGAUGGAGGCUAGCAUUGAAGUUGUACCAGCGUUCCAGAUAUUAGCUACCACUUGUUCAUAGUUGUUUAGGACAUAAUUCUAUUUAUGCAAAUUUCAAACAGAUAUUGUAUUUUCUUUAUACCAGCAUUGUAAAUCUAAAUCUUAGUAGCUCAUGACUUGUACUACCGGCCUUUAGGAUAGUUGUAUGAAUUUCUGUCAGUUUAUUUAUUGAUUAUUAAUGAUCUUCAUUCGAGUUAUGUUAUUUAUUGUUUGACUUACCUAGCAUGUUGGAGUUCGAUGUCAUCACGACUAGGUGGGAUUUUAGGUCGUAACAACCCUAUUUCAGAUUAUUUAUAAAUAAACAUUAUAAAAAGAGUAUCUGCCGGUUUCUAACAGUUUAUACACUAUUAAUACAUGGAAGAAACCAAAAGCAAAAGGGAGACGUCAAAAUAAGUUGCUUAUUAUUAUUUUGUAUUUUUUACACACACAGUUCUGCAUAGAUGAUAAGCUAAAGUGCUCAUUUAGAUGUUAUAAUACUUUCCAGCCCUUGCCACCUCUUUUACAGUACUGCUUCAGCCUUCCGAAAAACAUGACAAUAAUUAGAAUGAACUUUCCCAUAUUACUCCAUUUUCCAGCAAAUCCAUAUGCUGCAUCUUUGCAAUGGACAUCUGGUUUUAAUUGCCUUGCACAACUAUAGCCCAUUGACAUUCCAACAGUUCCAUAUGCACUGCAAAAUUAUCAUUAGAUACAUGAGAUAGAAUGAAAAAGCAUUUUACUUUUUAUAUUUUUCUUCUUUCUUUUUUGUUCAAGAAUCGCUUUAAAUUUUUGAUCCAAUAUACUAUAUGUAUUGGGGUUAAUGAAUUGUCUUCACUUAUUAAGUUAGGAGUAACCAUCUUCACAAAUUGUGAAGUGCAUACAUUUAUGACUCACAACGCAGUUAAGAAAAGGAAAUUAAAGAUAAUACCUCUAUUGAAAGAAGAUGCCGUGAAAAAUAUUACUUCCUUUGUCCCAAUUUAUGUGUCAUAGUUCGGAUUUUUAGAGUCAAAUGUUUUAAUGUUAAUCAUGAAAUCAGACAUAAAAUCUUUAAAUUUUUAAUACAAAAAUUUAUAUAUAUGAAAACUAGAUAAAAAUAAUAUCAAUCACAAUUAUUAACAAUUCAAAAUAUUUUUAAAGCAUAUAAAAAAAUUGCGGUAAAAGAAAACUCGUCCGACUCUAGAAAUUCGAACAUUGCUACAUAAAUCGUGGCGGAGGGAAUAAAAUUCUUGUGUGUAUAAAUCCAAAUGUAUAUUUAGCGGUUGGUCUAGAAAUGAAGAAAAAUAUAGUUGUCGACUAACCUGAUGACUUCAAAGACGAUGUUGAGUACAUUGAAAUUGAGGGGAUCAUUUUUCAUUUUGUCUCUCUCUGUAAUACAAAUAAGAAUAGUGAAAAUGACCAAAUAAGAAAGAUGUGAGAAUGAUACGUACUCCACUAAGCUGCUCCCUUUUCUCCUGUUCAUUCUUUCUGUAGUUUCCAAGCGCUCUUCAUUACUAUCAAUUGGCAAAAAAGAAGUAUAGGGUGAUAGAUACCUGCAGUGACAAAGCAAAUUAAUGAAUCUAAGAAUUGUACUUUACGAUAACAACAUUACAAAUUAUUUUGUAUUAACUACUAGAGCACUUAGAGUUUGUUGUUCUCCAAUGAUAUUAUAAAUUAAGACAUUUGGCAUCUUAUUCACCCUCUCUUUUCAUAGUGGGAGAUUACGAGACUUUUUAAUGUUGAUAAAAAAGUGGGGAACACACAAGAUAAUCACAUAUGCAAGUGAAUUAGGUAUCAAGAACCUUAUUGGAGAACACUUAUCUCUAAAAGCUUCUCAUUAAGGGUAAAAUAGGUAAAAUGAAGAGUUUAAAGUUGAAUUAUUUUUAAAUUUAGAAAUGUGUCA
rnacentral:lncRNA from 1 species